CAGCCGCCGCGGUAAUACGUAGGUCCCGAGCGUUGUCCGGAUUUAUUGGGCGUAAAGCGAGCGCAGGCGGUUAGAUAAGUCUGAAGUUAAAGGCUGUGGCUUAACCAUAGUACGCUUUGGAAACUGUUUAACUUGAGUGCGAGAGGGGAGAGUGGAAUUCCAUGUGUAGCGGUGAAAUGCGUAGAUAUAUGGAGGAACACCGGUGGCGAAAGCGGCUCUCUGGCUUGUAACUGACGCUGAGGCUCGAAAGCGUGGGGAGCAAGCAGGAUUAGAUACCCCAGUAGUCCCUGUCUCUUAUACA
rnacentral:rRNA from 1 species